AGAAUUUUGACUAAGUUAAUGGCAUGUUAGUCAAGCCUUAAUAUGUGCCUUGAAUUAAGGAGAAAAUUAAGGAAAAAAUACCUUUGAGUAAGUUUUUCAAAAGGGGUAGGCAGACUUUUAUUAUUUUGGGUGGUCGGGUGGUUAAGUUUUUCAAAAGGGGGCAGGUAUGUCUUGGGUUAUAAAUAGAACAGAGUUUGGACAUAAUAGGGGAGCUUUUUAAUCAAUUAGAGAGGGUAUUGAGAGUAAAAAAAUAUAGACUGAAUUUUGAGAUUAGAAAUUGAGAGCUUAGAAAGGAUUUUUAACAGUAGAAGUUUAGAGAAUUUGAGUGAAAUACAGGCUAAAUUCUUACACUUAGAAUUUAGUCUUUGAGAGUUUAAAAAAAACAGAAAUCAAAGUUUAUUGUUGUAUUACAUUUACUGCUCAUAUGUUACUGUUCCAUUGUUGGGUUUAGCUACUGUUGUUGUUGCUCUGUUGUGUUGUAUCCCUAUUGCUUUUUGCUAAUCAUUCCUUUUGCUUCUUCUAUUUCUAUUAUCCAGGUACUCUUUUUGAUCUUCCGCGUGUUAUGGAGGACUGGUGUAACUUUGGUUGAAGGAAUACAUGAAGAAAUAUUGUUUUGAACUGCUGUUUGUUUUAGUAUCUGCCUGCAUUUAGCCUAUAAGACAUCUUGUAUAAUAGGACUAUAUAAUGAUUAGGAAUUGUUCAACUUGUGAAUUCUAUAGUUAAAUAGUUUGUCUUAUUUUGUUUUAGCUCAUAUAAAUAGAGUAGUGAAGCUUGAACUCAUACAGAUUGGUGAUAAGUCACUCACCAUGGUGUAAUGUGAUCAUUAGAAUCUUUUGUGUAUGUACAUUAGUUAAUUUCCUCCAAUAGAAUCAUGUAAUUAAUUGAUACGCAUAACGGAAUAUUUGGC
rnacentral:lncRNA from 1 species